rfam:Agrilus planipennis Contig41676, whole genome shotgun sequence.
GGUUUAGUGGUCAGAACAUUGGUGCGUAAAGCCAAAAGUCCCGGGUUCGAUUCCCGG